rnacentral:rRNA from 1 species
GACGAACGCUGGCGGCGUGCUUAACACAUGCAAGUCGAACGAAAAGGCUCCAGCUGGCGGAGUAACUCGAUUGGCAAACGGUUGGGAAACACGUGGGUAAUCUGCCCUCCACUCUGGGAUAAGCCUGGGAAACUGGUCCAAAUACUGGAUAUAACCUUUCUCCUUUGGGGGUUGGUGGGAAGUUUUUUCGUUGUAGGAUGAGCCCGCGGCCUAUCAGCUUGUUGGUGGGGUGAUGGCCUACCAAGGCGACGACGGGUAGCCGGCCUGAGAGGGUGAUCGGCCACAUUGGGACUGAGAUACGGCCCAGACUCCUACGGGAGGCAGCAGUGGGGAAUAUUGCACAAUGGGCGGAAGCCUGAUGCAGCGACGCCGCGUGAGGGAUGACGGCCUUCGGGUUGUAAACCUCUUUCAGCAGGAACGAAGCGUAAGUGACGGUACCUGCAGAAGAAGCACCGGCUAACUAUGUG